rnacentral:rRNA from 1 species
GGUUAAUACCGAACACCGUCCGGUGGACGAGAGUCCAUCGGGGAAAGGGAGGCCUCUGGCAACAUGCUUNCGCUCCGGGAGGAGCCCAUGGCCCAUCAGCUAGUUGGGAGGGUAACGGCCUACCAAGGCGAANACGGGUAGCUGGUCUGAGAGGACGAUCAGNCACACUGGCACUGAUACACGGGCCAGACUCCUACGGGAGGCAGNAGUGAGGAAUUUUGCGCAAUGGGGGCAACCCUGACGCAGCAACGCCGCGUGUGGGAAGAAGGCUUUCGGGUUGUAAACCACUUUUGUAAGGGACGAAGUCCCUUCGGCAAAUAACCGAGGGGGAUGACGGUACCUUGCGAAUAAGCCACGGUAACUCUGUGCCAGCAGCCGCGGUAAGACAGGGGUGGCAAGCGUUGUUCGGAGUAACUGGGCGUAAAGGGUCUGUAGGUGGUUUUUCAAGUCUUUGGUAAAACGCCGUGGCUCAACCAUGGUUUGGCCAAGGAGACUGGGAGACUCGAGGCUGGGAGAGGGAAGCGGAAUUUCUGGUGUAGCGGUGAAAUGCGUAGAGAUCAGAAAGAAGGCCGGUGGCGAAGGCGGCUUCCUGGAACAGACCUGACACUGAGAGACGAAAGCGUGGGGAGCAAACAGGAUUAGAUACCCUGGUAGUCCACGCCCUAAACGAUGGGAACUAAGUGUGGGGAGCAAUCCCCGUGCCGCAGCUAACGCAAUAAGUUCCCCGCCUGGGGAGUACGGCCGCAAGGUCGAAACUCAAAGGAAUUGACGGGGGCCCGCACAAGCGCUGGUGCAUGUGGUUUAAUUCGACGCAACGCGAGGAACCUUACCUGGGUUUUGACAUGGCGCUGGUAGUGAACCGAAAGGGGAGCGACCCCGCAAGGGGAGGCGUCACAGGUGCUGCAUGGCUGUCGUCAGCUCGUGCCGUGAGGUGUUGGGUUAAGUCCCGCAACGAGCGCAACCCCCGCCCUUUGUUGCUACCGGGUAAAGCCGGGCACUCGAAGGGGACUGCCAGCGAAGAGUUGGAGGAAGGUGGGGAUGACGUCAAGUCAUCAUGGCCUUUAUAUCCAGGGCGACACACGUGCAACAAUGGCCGGUACAGACGGAGGCGAGCCCGUAAGGGGGAGCAAAUCCGAGAAAGCCGGUCUCAGUUCGGAUUGAGGUCUGCAACUCGACCUCAUGAAGUCGGAAUCGCUAGUAAUCGCGUAUCAGAACGACGCGGUGAAUACGUUCCCGGGCCUUGUACACACCGCCCGUCACACCACGAAAGUCUGUUGUACCCGAAGUCGGUGUCCGAACCCCGCAAGGGGACGAANCCGCCCAAGGUAUGGCCGAUGAUUGGGGUGA